GACGAACGCUGGCGGCGUGCCGAAUACAUGCAAGUCGAACGCAGUGGGGACGGGUGAGUAACACGUGGGUAACCUCCCAUCAGAGGGGAUAACACUUGGAAACAGGUGCUAAAACGAUAUUGAUGGAUGGACCCGCUGUGCAUUAGCUAGUUGGGGAGGUAACGGCUACCCACGACCACGAUGCAUAGCCGACCUGAGAGGGUGAUCGGCCACACUGGUACUGAGACACGGCCCAGACUCCUACGGGAGGCAGCCGUAGGGAAUCUUCGGCAAUGGACGAAAGUCUGACCGAGCAACGCCGCGUGAGUGAAUAAGGUUUUCGGAUCGUAAGACUCUGUUGUUCGAGAAGCGGUAUCUAACCAGAAAGCCACGGCUAACUACGUGCCAGCCGCCGCGGUAAUUC
rnacentral:rRNA from 1 species